CAGUAGCCGCGGUAAAACAGAGGGUGCGAGCGUUAAUCGGAUUUACUGGGCGUAAAGCGUGCGUAGGCGGCUUCUUAAGUCGGAUGUGAAAUCCCUGAGCUUAACUUAGGAAUUGCAUUCGAUACUGGGAAGCUAGAGUAUGGGAGAGGAUGGUAGAAUUCCAGGUGUAGCGGUGAAAUGCGUAGAGAUCUGGAGGAAUACCGAUGGCGAAGGCAGCCAUCUGGCCUAAUACUGACGCUGAGGUACGAAAGCAUGGGGAGCAAACAGGAUUAGAUACCCGUGUAGUCCCUGUCUCUUAUAU
rnacentral:rRNA from 1 species